CAGUCGCCGCGGUAAUACGUAGAGUGCAAGCGUUAAUCGGAAUUACUGGGCGUAAAGCGUGCGCAGGCGGUUAUAUAAGACAGAUGUGAAAUCCCCGGGCUCAACCUGGGAACUGCAUUUGUGACUGUAUAGCUAGAGUACGGCAGAGGGGGAUGGAAUUCCGCGUGUAGCAGUGAAAUGCGUAGAUAUGCGGAGGAACACCGAUGGCGAAGGCAAUCCCCUGGGCCUGUACUGACGCUCAUGCACGGAAGCGUGGGGAGCAAACAGGAUUAGAUACCCCCGUAGUCCCUGUCUCUUAUAA
rnacentral:rRNA from 1 species